GCUAAUACAUGCGUUAAAAGAGGAAAGAUAUAUGGGAAUUGAUUAUGGAAAUAGUAAAAGAAUUGAGGAUUGGAAUAGUUGGAAGCAAUUUCAGUUAUUUCAGUUCUUGAUAACUUGAUUAUGGAAAUAGUUAAUUCUUUUCUUUUCAUUUUUUAUUCAAUGAAUCCGACUCGUGAGGGAAGGAUUGUAUUUAUUAGAUCGAAAACCAAUGUGAAUGGUUUAAUUAAAGUGAAUUUUUGUUUUCAGUUUUCGGACUGGGAAUUGGGGUUUUCUUUAAACCCAUUCUAAUUAUUUUAUCAAAUUCAAAACUUGAUAAAUAAUAAAACACUGGUGAAUCAUGAUAAAUUUGUCGAAUCGUAUAUUAGGUGGGAUAGUAUUUAGCGAUCCAAAAGAUUGUUAGUAUUAUUUUGCUAUACGAUAUGUCAUUCAAAUUUCUGACCUAUCAACUUUUGAUGGUAGGAUAGAGGCCUACCAUGGUUUUGACGGGUAACGGAGAAUUAGGGUUCGAUUCCGGAGAGGGAGCCUGAGAGAUGGCUACCACUUCCAAGGAAGGCAGCAGGCGCGCAAAUUACCCAAUCCCAAUUGAUGGUUUGGUAUUGUCAGUGUAAAAGCUGAUUUAUAGCUUGACUUAUUUGGGGAGGUAGUGACAAAAAAUAACAAUACGGGAUCUUUUACAAGGUUCUGCAAUUGGAAUGGUUUUAAUGUAAAUGCUUAAAAGAGAAACAAUUAGAGGGCAAGUCUGGUGCCAGCAGCCGCGGUAAUUCCAGCUCUAAUAGUGUAUACUAAAAUUGCUGCAGUUAAAAAGCUCGUAGUUGGAUUUCUAAAUAAUUUUUAAAUAUAUUUUUCUUAAGGUUCUGAAUAAUUUGAUAAAAUUAUAUUGGGUUAUUUGGUUGGGAAUCUGUCAAAAGGAUUUCUUGAAUUGAAUAAUUUGAAUAAUUGGGUGAAUAUGGAUUUUUGAAAUAUUCCAAUUGGACUUAAUCGUCUUUUUUGGAAUUGGCCAUAUUUGCUUUCUUUAAGAAAAAUGUCCUAAAAUAAUUCUUUUAGGGUUUUUAAUUAAAUCCUAAUUGAGGGAUAAAUUUAAUAUUCGAAAUCGUUAAUUAGCAAUUAAGUUUGUUUUAAUUAAUCGUCAUUUAGAUUGGAUUUUUCAAUAGGACAAUCAAUUUAUUGUUUGUUACUAUGGUUCAAUUUAAAUCGAUUUCGGAAAUUUUACUUUGAAGAAAAUGGAGUGUUCAAAGCAGGCAUUUUCGAUUUGUUGAUUUGGGUUAGUAUAUUGUAAAAGGUAUAUUAGGUCAGAUGAAUUGGAUUUGAAAACUAUUUCGCAACUGAACACAUUAGCAUGGAAUAAUAAAAUAAGACACUUGAUAGACUUAAUUUCUAUUUUGUAAAAGAUUUGGGAUUAAUGUCUAAUUUUAGAUGAGUUCCAGAAUUAUUUUGAUAGGGGCAACUCUAUUUGAAUAAUUUUGGUUUUUGAUAUUUAUCAAUGUAAUUAUUGUCAUUUAAGAUUUCAUUUUUAUUGGUUGAUGAAACAAGUGUAAUGAUUAAGAGGGACAGUUGGGGGGUAUCUGUAUUGCAUUGUCAGAGGUGAAAUUCUUAGAUUUAUGCAAGACAAACAAGUGCGAAAGCAUUUACCAAGGAUGUUUUCAUUAAUCAAGAACGAAAGUUAGGGGAUCGAAGGCGAUCAGAAACCGCCCUAGUCUUAACUAUAAACGAUGCCAACUAGGGAUUGGAGGGAAUUUUAUAAAAGUGGAAUUAAAUGUUCGAAAGAAUGUUUAGUUCUAUUUUUAUUGCUUUAAAUAUAUAACAAUAGGUUGUAAUUGGAAUAAUGAUUUCGGUUAUUAUUUUGGAUUAUGAUUUAUUGUUUUUAAGCCCCGUCAGCACCUUUAGAGAAAUCAAUUAAGUCUCUGGGUUCUGGGGGGAGUAUGGUCGCAAGUCUGAAACUUAAAGAAAUUGACGGAAGGGCACCACCAGGUGUGGAGCCUGCGGCUUAAUUUGACUCAACACGGGGAAACUUACCAGGUCCAGACACGGGAAGGAUUGACAGAUUGAUAGUUUUUUCUUGAUUCCGUGGGUGGUGGUGCAUGGUCGUUCUUAGUUGGUGGAGUGAUUUGUCUGGUUAAUUCCGAUAACGAACGAGACCUCAACCUGCUAAAUAGGAUAAUGAUUUUUAUUUUCAUUUUUGAAUGAUUUAAUGUUGAUUAGUUUUUUGAAUGUCAAAGUUUGAAAGAUUAAUUGAUAUUAGAAAAUUUAGAAAUGAAAGAAAAGAAUUAAAUAUAAAAAUAAUUCGUUAUGCUUUCUAGAGUGGAUGUUUCUUUAUUGUUUGUCAAAGGAUGAUAGAGGAAUGAUUGCUUUAGGGAGUGAAUUAUUGAAAUUAUUAUAAAAGAUAAAUUUUUAUAUAUUUUGGGGGAUAUUGACUUGGGAUGAAUAGUCAAAUAUUUGUUUCAAUAGGUAUUCCUUUUUUAAAGUAUGUAAAAAGACCUACUUAGAGGGACUACCAUGGUUGCACAUGGGGGAAGCAUGAGGCAAUAACAGGUCUGUGAUGCCCUUAGAUGUCCUGGGCCGCACGCGCGCUACACUGAUAAAGUCAACAAGUUUAUAUUAUGAUUUGAUUUAUUUAAAAAAAGAAAGAGGAAAUUUGAUAGUUGAUUUAAGUGGGAGGGCUGUCAAAGGCUUUUUCAUUUUGUCAGUUAUCUAUUUUUCUUUUUCUUUGAAUUGAAUUAUAAUUUCCUUAUCCGAAAGGAUUGGGUAAUCUUUUCAAACUUUAUCGUGAUGGGGAUUGAUCUUUGUAAUUUUGGAUCAUGAACGAGGAAUACCUAGUAAGCGCAAUUCAUCAGAUUGCGUUGAUUACGUCCCUGCCCUUUGUACACACCGCCCGUCGCUCCUACCGAUUGAAUGAUCAGAUGAAAUGUUCGGAUUGUUAAAUCAUUAAAAGUUUAAAAUGUAUAUUCAUUAUAUUCUUUGUAUGGUCUAUUGGCAACAGUAGGUUAUAUUUGGAAUUGGGAUAUAUGUCUUUUUUACCGAUUUAAUUAGAAGAACAGUAAAUCUUAUUAUUUA
rnacentral:rRNA from 1 species